GGAGAAGGGACAGCUGAGUAACAAAGUCCUGGUACGCAGACGACGAUACUAUUACACUGACAAGAGUGUAAUGAUGAUGGAGACACAAGCCAGAGAAAGUGGGGACCAAACACCAGGCCAGAAUUCUGCAUGAGUCAGAUCCAGUGGGUGCAGAUCAUCAUACAGAUGGUUCAAGUGUGGAUCCACCUAAUAUUCAAGAUUUUCUGUCCUGGGACACUCGGCUAACCAUCAAGAAAGAACACAGUAGGUUAACAAGAAUCUGACUUCACGUUUGAUCAUUACAAAAUUAUGGCAGUA